UGAAGAACUUAACACCACGUUAGUCCAGA
rnacentral:piRNA from 1 species